AUACGGAGGGGGUUAGCGUUGUUCGGAAUUACUGGGCGUCAAGCGUACGUAGGCGGAUUAGUAAGUUAGGGGUGAAAUCCCGAGGCUCAACCUCGGAACUGCCUCUAAAACUGCUAGUCUUGAGUUCGAGAGAGGUGAGUGGAAUUCCUAGUGUAGAGGUGAAAUUCGUAGAUAUUAGGAGGAACUCCAGUGGCGAAGGCGGCUCACUGGCUCGAUACUGACGCUGAGGUACGAAAGUGUGGGGAGCAAACAGGAGUAGAAACCCCAGUAGUCC
rnacentral:rRNA from 1 species